AUUAAAGUGGCAGAUGUAUGCGAAGAAUUUAAGCUUCUUUUAUGAUAAUUCCUUUAGUA
rnacentral:tRNA from 1 species